rnacentral:ncRNA from 1 species
GACACUCUGGAGAAUCCCGGCUGCAACGAUGCCGGGUGCCGAAGGUGCAAAGCCCCCAGGGGCUAAUCUCUCAGGCAAAAGGACAGAGCCG